UUGAUGGAGAGUUUGAUCCUGGCUCAGGACGAACGCUGGCGGCGUGCUUAACACAUGCAAGUCGAACGGUGACGAUGGGGCUUGCCCUAU
rnacentral:rRNA from 1 species